CAGUCGCCACGGUAAUACGUAGGGUGCAAGCGUUAAUCGGAAUUACUGGGCGUAAAGCGUGCGCAGGCGGUUAUGUAAGACAGUUGUGAAAUCCCCGGGCUCAACCUGGGAACUGCAUCUGUGACUGCAUAGCUAGAGUACGGUAGAGGGGGAUGGAAUUCCGCGUGUAGCAGUGAAAUGCGUAGAUAUGCGGAGGAACACCGAUGGCGAAGGCAAUCCCCUGGACCUGUACUGACGCUCAUGCACGAAAGCGUGGGGAGCAAACAGGAUUAGAUACCCCCGUAGUCCCUGUCUCUUAUAC
rnacentral:rRNA from 1 species